rnacentral:misc_RNA from 1 species
CACCUUCCUCUAUAAAGCAGCCACUCAACCAUAUCUCCAGUUAAAACGCCACUUAUCAAAACAGACUCGGUUUCUCGCGCUCUCUCUCUCUCUUGUCUUAAAUGGACAAACCCAUGGCAGAGCUAUGGCGACCGGACUUGGCCUUUUUCCGACCACCAGAGACGCCAAGCGAACCUAUGGAGUUCCUCUCGCGUUCUUGGAGUAUCUCGGCCUUGGAGGUCACAAAAGCCCUUGCUCCGCCACAAAUGGUUCUCUCUAAGACCAUGAGUGGCUGUACCAUACAGGAGGACAUUGCUGGAGAGUUAGAGGAGAGUGCUACCGUUUCUGGGAACCCAUUUUCUUUUGCUUCCUCUGAGACCUCUCAGAUGGUCAUGGAAAGAAUCAUGUCACAGUCGGUGAGUUAUGUGAAACAGAGUGCCAAAGGAUAAAGACAACUUGUGGGAUUUAUAAUUUUUGGCUCUUGGCCUUAAAGUUCUAGCUUCUGCUUUGUUUUCUUCUCUCUCUUGUUAUAUAAUUGACUGGUUUUGUCCUUUUUUAAUUUGGUUUUGAUGUUACAGUGUUUUGGCUCUUUUGGGUGUUGGGUUUGAAUAUUUUUGACAAAAUUUGUUCUAAUUUUACAUUUGUUUUUCUCUAAUCUUGAAUUUAAAAUAAACACAAUAGAAUCUUUUUGAAGAAUUCAAACUGGUAUGGAAACUUGAAGCGAGAUUUGCAACAUUUUAUUUUCCGCCUGAUGCUUCUCUUUUUCGAAGAAAGCAAGGCACUUCUAUAAAACUACUCAAUAAUUUCUUCUCCAUUUCAAUACCAAUUCACAAUAUCUCCACCUAUGAUUUCCUUAAAAAUUCCUAAACCCCAUCUUCUUUCGUGCCGUUUAAUGCAGCAGGAGGUAUCCCCACGAACUUCAGGCAGGCUUUCACACAGCAGUGGCCCUCUUAAUGGUUCCUUAACGGACAGUCCUCCUGUCUCCCCGUCCGAGAUCGACGACGUCAAGUAUUGCCGUCAAAAUAACACCAACACCCAGUACCGAACGCCCUCGGCUACGCCUGGUGCCUCCAUUAGUGCUGCUGGAGGAGGUGGUGGUGGCGGUGGUGGUAAGACGGUUGGUAGGUGGUUGAAGGAUAGGAGGGAGAAGAAAAAGGAGGAGACGAGGGCCCACAAUGCCCAGCUUCAUGCUGCCAUUUCUGUAGCUGGCGUCGCCGCAGCUGUUGCUGCCAUCGCUGCUGCUACUGCUGCCUCUUCUGGGAACGGGAAGGAUGAGCAAAUGGCGAAGACUGAUAUGGCAGUGGCAUCUGCUGCCACAUUGGUUGCAGCCCAAUGCGUUGAGGCCGCGGAGGCCAUGGGGGCAGAGCGUGAUCACCUAGCUUCUGUUGUCAGCUCUGCUGUAAAUGUGCGGUCUCCGGGUGAUAUAAUGACAUUAACAGCUGCUGCAGCCACAGCUUUACGUGGGGCCGCAACAUUGAAGGCAAGAGCACUAAAGGAGGUGUGGAACAUAGCAGCAGUUAUUCCUGUGGAGAAAGGAUUAGGUGUUGGUGGUGGAAAUGGUAGUAAUGGUAGUUCUAAUGGUAGUUUCAGUGGUGAACUUGUGCCUGAAGAGAAUUUCCUAGGGAUCUGCAGUAGGGAGUUGCUAGCCAGAGGCUGUGAGCUCCUCAAGCGCACUCGUAAAGGUGAUCUUCACUGGAAGAUAGUUUCUGUUUAUAUCAACAAAAUGAAUCAGGUUAUGUUGAAGAUGAAGAGCAGACAUGUUGCCGGGACCAUAACAAAAAAGAAAAAGAAUGUGGUGUUGGAGGUUAUCAAAGAUAUUCCUGCCUGGCCAGGACGCCACCUGCUCGUGGGUGGUGAGGAUCGGAGAUAUUUCGGAUUGAAGACUCUGUUGCGGGGAGUUGUGGAGUUUGAGUGCUUGAAUCAGAAGGAAUAUGAUAUGUGGACUCAGGGUGUGUCGAGGCUUCUGGCCAUGGCAGAAGAAAAGAACAAUAGAAAUAGAAUUUAACUCACACAAAGGGGGCAAAAGCUUUGCAAUUGGGAACGGGAAACUGGGAUAAAUAGUAAAUACAUGGCCCUAGUGAACGUUAACUAAGUUUUUAAAUUUCGGUUGGGCUAUAUAUAUUUCUGUUUGUUCUGUUCCUAUAUUUUGUUAAGGAGAAAUCAAAGAUUUUAGUUAUAUCCAAUAUUUUGGAGGCCAAUCUCUUUUUGUGUUGGGAGUGGGAAUAUAUUUUUGUCUUGGAACUGGAAAAGUAAAGUGUGUUGAAUCAAAAGGAAGUAGAAGCCAUGUGUUGAAAGCCAUUGUUUCUUUCAGUGAACAGGUAACGAAAGGAGCAACUUGGUUGGGGUGGUCAAAAAGGGGGUGAAAGGAAGAAGAGCCCAUUGUUAUGAUAGUAGAAUGUAGAAUUAAAUUUCAAUAUAAAGGCAGUGAGUGCUUUUGUUUUUUAUUUUCUGUGGCCCUCGUUUUUGUACCCAUUGUUGUUAUAGGGCCCUGCUUUAAGGUACUUUGAUGUGGAGCCGUUAAGGCAUAUGAUUGUGGAUUUGUUGUCUUUCGCUUUAUCUAAUAAUUUGAUUGGAUUAAGUGAAUCAAAAGGUUUUUGCAAUUAUUUAAUUAAUGCAAAAGUAGGCUUUGAUCCUCAAUGCCAGAGGAAGGUGGGGAAUAAAU